GUAGGUGGGCAAGCGUUGUCCGGAAUUAUUGGGCGUAAAGCGCGCGCAGGCGGUUCUUUAAGUCUGAUGUGAAAGCCCACGGGCUCAACCGUGGAGGGUCAUUGGAAACUGGAGAACUUGAGUACAGAAGAGGAAAGCGGAAUUCCACGUGUAGCGGUGAAAUGCGUAGAGAUGUGGAGGAACACCAGUGGCGAAGGCGGCUUUCUGGUCUGUAACUGACGCUGAGGCGCGAAAGCGUGGGGAGCAAACAGGAUUAGAUACCCUGGUAGUCCACGCCGUAAACGAUGAGUGCUAAGUGUUAGGGGGUUUCCGCCCCUUAGUGCUGCAGCUAACGCAUUAAGCACUCCGCCUGGGGAGUACGGCCGCAAGGCUG
rnacentral:rRNA from 1 species